GCAACAGAGAGCAAACCGCCGAUGGCCCGCGCAAGCGGGAUCAGGUAAGGGUGAAAGGGUGCGGUAAGAGCGCACCGCGCGGCUGGUAACAGUCCGUGGCACGGUAAACUCCACCCGGAGCAAGGCCAAAUAGGGGUUCAUAAGGUACGGCCCGUACUGAACCCGGGUAGGCUGCUUGAGCCAGUGAGCGAUUGCUGGCCUAGAUGAAUGACUGUCCACGACAGAACCCGGCUUAUCGGUCAGUUUCACCU
rnacentral:RNase_P_RNA from 1 species